UACGUAGGGUCCGAGCGUUGUCCGGAAUUACUGGGCGUAAAGAGCUCGUAGGCGGUUUGUCGCGUCGUCCGUGAAAACUCACAGCUCAACUGUGGGCGUGCGGGCGAUACGGGCAGACUGGAGUACUGCAGGGGAGACUGGAAUUCCUGGUGUAGCGGUGGAAUGCGCAGAUAUCAGGAGGAACACCGGUGGCGAAGGCGGGUCUCUGGGCAGUAACUGACGCUGAGGAGCGAAAGCGUGGGGAGCGAACAGG
rnacentral:rRNA from 1 species